CAGCCUCCUGAGUCUCUGGGACUUCAGGCAGGAGCUUGGAGGGCGGGAGGAGGCGGGUGGAAGGUUCUGCCUCGAAAACUGAGGAUACUAGUGUAAUAACAGAAGCUCGCAGAGGUCGCUUCACUGUGCGAAGAACCUGGAAAACCUGAAAUCUGACUACCUGGUCUUGUCUAGGCAGCUGGGGACUGUGGCAGAGUGGCCCGGCCAGACAGGUUGGGGUCACUGAAAACACUUGGUCUCCAACCACACAUGGCUCCAUCUGCCAAAUCACUGAGCAUCUCUGACUUGCUUACUCUCCUGCCUUCUGAAAACACUUUUUGAACAUUGUCUGUCUCCUUCAACCUCAGAUGUCUCACCUCCCUCUUGGUGACUUUGCUUCAUAUGUCACAAAAAAAUAGAAAUACCAGCCAAGACCUCCCUCAACUUUGGGCCACCUUCAGGACAAACCUUCAUCUGUCCUAGUUUUCCUCUUCUCUCCUCUUGUCAUAUGGAGUGACCGUUCCUCUGCUAAGAAAGACUUAUCUCUCAUCCAGCUCUGGACCUUAAGACACUGAGAAGUGGUUUUGUGGUUCCAGCAAUAAGGAAGUCAUUGCGGACUUUAAUAAGAGCCAAGUUCAAGUGAAACGAGAAGAACUAGAAGGUGAAGAAACUAGACAGUUAUAGACAACCCAUUUAGGAAGUCUGAUUAUGAGGGGAGCAAUUACUCACUACUAUCUCUAAAACCCUAAGCUAGCGAUUAUUCCCUUCAUCUUUCUCUUCUUCCUCUCUACCCAUUCCCUUCAGUCCCAGACACACAAAGGUCUCUGCUAUCCCAACAGCAGCUGCUAGAUAACCAGCAAACAAAAGCUAUCCUUCAACCCUGUGCCUCUCAGCUAUUGGCCUAUUUGUUGCUGUCCUUCCUAAUCACAUUUUUCAGGCGGGGUUGUCUUGUCACUUGUUCGCCUUCUAGUCCCUUCACAUCUCAUUUCAAUAUGGUUUUCUUAAGGUUACCAGUGACUUCCAGAUUGCUAGAACCAAAAGAAAAAAGCAGAACAAAACAAAACAAAACCCAACCCCAUUGUUCAGCCUCCUCACGUGUUUUCCCUGAGGUAGCCCAUGACGGCAGAGUCUAGCCGGUCUGGGGAAGCGAUUCGAGUUCAAGAAAUGCCUGGUGCAUUUGCGGGCUGCACUCUCUGUGCCAGGCUCUGUGUUGAGCGACAGGAACCGCAGCAGUGUAAGACACAGUCCUGUCCCUCGGGCCUGCGGGCCGGCCUGUGGAAGGCAAUGACCAUGCACUGUGCUGCCACACGUGGUGACUGAGGAGGAGGGGCCUGGGGAGCACAGGGGGAGGAGGGGUCACCUUCUCCAGGGUGGGGUGGAAAGGUUCAGGCUGGAGUCUGAGAGGUAAACUGGUGGGAGAGCUGAGAGCUGGGGGAGCACGUUCCAGACAAUGACAGCAACUGGUGUGACAUGCAGGGAACCUCAUGCCACACUGUGCUGGGAAAGCCUGGGUGGAAGUGGGGUGUAGGUGGGUGGGGGGUGUGUGAAUGGCGGAGUCUGGUCAGGAAUGCCUGGGUGUGUGAAGCCUGGCCUCUGGCCUCUUCCUCCAGGCCCAGGGACAUCAGAGUCACUACAAUUAGCCUAUAUAUGGUCCUAGGUGUCAGCAAGUGCUGAAUAAAUGAAGAAAGGAUGAAUGACUGUUUUAGUUCAUGAAACACUGCCGCACUGUUUGUGUUGUUUAAAUUGACAUUGCUAAUGCAUUUAAAGUGCUUGGAACACAGGCACAGAGUAUAAGCGGCCGUGAAGCAUACUGGUUAGGGCAUCAGUCGAUGGGGCUGGAGGCACAGGGUUUGUACCCCAGCUUCACUACUUGCUAUGACUUUGGACAAGUUACUUAAGCUCUUUGUGGCAUCUGUACUUCGGGAAUUCCAACAGUAGCUGAUUCACAAAGUUAUCCUGAGGGUUAAAAGGGUUUACAUAACUAAAGCACUUAACCCAAUUUCUUGUAACAACUCAUAAUAAUU